CCCUUAGAUGUUCUGGGCCGCACGCGCGCUACAAUGAUGAAUUCAACGAGUUUAUAACCUUGGUUGAAAAGCCUGGGUAAUCUUUUGAACUUUCGUCGUGAUGGGGCUAGACCCUUGCAAUUAUUGGUCUCCAACGAGGAAUUCCUAGUAAACGCAAGUCGUCAGCUUGCAUUGAUUACGUCCCUGCCCUUUGUACACACCGCCCGUCGCACCUACCGAUUGAAUGGUCCGGUGAAAUCUUCGGAUUGAGACUUUGAUUUCUUCACGGAAAACGCUGUUUUAAAAAGUUGAUUAAACCUUACCAUUUAGAGGAAGGUGAAGUCGUAACA
rnacentral:rRNA from 1 species